rnacentral:rRNA from 1 species
UACGUAGGGUGCGAGCGUUGUCCGGAAUUAUUGGGCGUAAAGAGCUCGUAGGCGGUGUGUCACGUCGAUAGUGAAAACUUACAGCUUAACUGUGAGCGUGCGGUCGAUACGGGCAUCACUGGAGUUCGGCAGGGGAGACUGGAAUUCCUGGUGUAGCGGUGAAAUGCGCAGAUAUCAGGAAGAACACCUAUGGCGAAAGCAGCUCUCUGGGACGGUACUGACGCUGAGACGCGAAAGCGUGGGGAGCGAACAGG